rnacentral:rRNA from 1 species
GAUGAACGCUAGCGGUAGGCCUAACACAUGCAAGUCGAGGGAGAAGCCCUUUCGGGGGCAGAAACAGGCGCACGGGUGCGUAACGCGUAUGGAACCUCCCCUUAACCGGCGGAUAGCCCGAAGAAAAUUGGAUUAAUAUCACAUAAUAUUAUUGGAUGGCAUCAUUUUAUAAUUAAAACUGCGGCGGAGAUAGAUGGGCAUGCGUCCUAUUAGUCAGUUGGAGUAGUUACAGCACCCCAAGGCUACGAUAGCUAGGGGUCCUGAGAGGGAGAGCCCCCAGACUUGUAAUGAGACAGAGACCAGAAUCCUACGCGGGGCAGCGGUGAAGAAUAUUAUGCGAUGGACGGAAGACUGAACCAGCCGUGCCGCGGACAGGAAGAAUGGCGUAUGAGAUGUAAACUGUUGUGAUAUAGAAAGAAUAAGGCGUACGUCUACUUUGAUGACGGUACCAUAUGAAUAAGCAUCGGCUAACUCCGUG